CAGCCGCCGCGGUAAUACGAAGGGUGCAAGCGCUACUCGGAAUUACUGGGCGUAAAGCGUGCGUAGGUGGUGGUUUAAGUCCGUUGUGAAAGCCCUGGGCUCAACCUGGGAAUUGCAGUGGAUACUGGGUCACUAGAGUGUGGUAGAGGAUAGUGGAAUUUCCGGUGUAGCAGUGAAAUGCGUAGAGAUCGGAAGGAACAUCUGUGGCGAAGGCGACUAUCUGGGCCAACACUGACACUGAGGCACGAAAGCGUGGGGAGCAAACAGGAUUAGAUACCCCAGUAGUCCCUGUCUCUUAUAC
rnacentral:rRNA from 1 species